rnacentral:lncRNA from 1 species
UUGCUAAGUUUAUUGGUUAGAAGACACAUGCUUCUGGUCCAUCUAAGGUUGUUCAUCAGAAAAUCUGCAUUCAUAAGAUUUCUAAAGAUCGUUGGUGAGAAGACCUCUCAUACUUCUGGUACAUCUAAGGUUGCUAAAGUUGUCGGUGAGAAGAAAGGUGUUCUUAUAAGAACCUUGAUGCUAUCAAGCCUUAUGCUUAUGGUACAUCUACCGCGCCGUUAUUAUUCGUAAAUGAUGACUAAAAUGAAAAAUGAUAUGAAGCUCCUCCGUGAUUCGUGAUACUGUAGUGAAAAUUGUAA